CCUGUACAACAGACGGUUGAAAAUUGUAAUGAUUUUCUUUUUAUGAGUGUUAGUGAUCAAAGCAGGCCUGGAAAAAUCUCUGACUUUCCAACGGCCAUUUUAUCACAAAUUUCUUCAACAGCAGCAUCGUGAUAGAGCUACCGGAGAAAGCAAUUCAGCCCAAGUUUAACCUGGAGCCGGUCUGGCGGAAAGCGGUGGUGAUGGAGGGCUUGCUGAAGACAUUCAAGUCGCCUUCCCUUCAGUUUGAAAAUUUCAGUCGACACAGCAACACCGCUUUUAUAGCCCGGCAGCUAUCAAAUCAAUUCGAUAGAUAACUUGGCCCUAAGAAGGCCAUGCUUCCCGGACCGCAUGUAACAUCCGAAUGCUGCCGCAUUUGUUCACACAACACGAUGAUCUCAAGCACCGGGGCCUGUAGAUUCUCAUCUCAAAGAAGUUGGCCGUCAAGUUUGACCACGACCAGUACCUGGAGGAGGAAGGUUGACUGGUUCCGGACGGAUGUGGUGAGCUCUCCGCUAUGACCAUGGCCGGCUGGUGUAGUGAAACCUCCGCCCAAUAUUAACAAAAGGAAAAAAUGUGUCUUCUUGUAAAAUGUGUUAUUUAGGUUUAUUCAAA